rnacentral:tRNA from 1 species
GCAGUUGGUAGCGCAUCACCUUGCCAAGGUGAGGGUCGCGAGUUCGAGUCUCGUCAUCCG